GAUGAACGCUGGCGGCGUGCCUAAUACAUGCAAGUCGAACGCUGGAAAUCUAGCUUGCUAGAUUGAAGGAGUGGCGAACGGGUGAGUAAUACAUAAGCAACCUACCCACGAAGACUGGGAUAAUCUCUGGAAACGGGGACUAAUACCGGAUAGGUAAUCGGAAGGCAUCUUCUGAUUAUUAAAAGUUAAAAACACUGGUGGAUGGGCUUAUGGCGCAUUAGUUAGUUGGUGAGGUAACGGCCCACCAAGACGAUGAUGCGUAGCCGGCCUGAGAGGGUGAACGGCCACAUUGGGACUGAGACACGGCCCAGACUCCUACGGGAGGCAGCAGUAGGGAAUUUUCGGCAAUGGGGGAAACCCUGACCGAGCAACGCCGCGUGAGUGAUGACGGCCUUCGGGUUGUAAAGCUCUGUUGUAAGGGAAGAACGGUAGAUAGAGAAUAUCUAAAUGACGGUACCUUACCAGAAAGCCACGGCUAACUACGUG
rnacentral:rRNA from 1 species